CUCUCUUUAUCGAAAACAGAGGAUCUCUGCUGUAACGUGACACUUUCUAAGGCUCCCAUAGGCUCUCAGAAGGCGCCAGAACGUUGAAUGAUGACUUUGCAGCCCCUGCCUGAAAAACAGUAGCACAUUUGGAUAGUGGUCGAUCUGAGAACAAUGAGACGGGUGCGCGCGUGCACGUGAAGAGGCCAUUUUACAUUUUCAGUCUUUGAACGAAAAAGACGUUCAAAGACGAGAAAAAUCGCAUAAAAAUAGAUUUUAAACAGCGUUUGACAUGCUUCGAAGUACGGUAAUGGAAUAUUUUGAAAUGUUUUGUCACGAUACGCGUCCGCGCGUCACCGUUCGGAUAGUGUCUUGAACGCAAGAACAAAACAGAGGAUAUUUGAACAUAACUAUGGAUUAUUUUGAACCAAAACAACAUUUGUGGAUGAAGUAGAAGUCCUGGGAGUGCAUUCUGACGAAGAACAGCAAAGGUUCCCUUGGAGAGUUCAUCAAUGAGCUUGACGCCUUGAUAAGUUCCUUUCCUGAGGAUGGCUCACCUCUCACAGUUCUGGACCAUUUCCGGAGACCUUCUCCCCUACCUCACCUCGCUCAUCAACGCAUCCUUGACCGCUGGCUACGUCCCUUCCGUCUUCAAGAGAGCGAGAGUUGCACCCCUUCUGAAAAAAACCUACACUCGACCCCUCCGAUGUCAACAACUACAGGCCAGUAUCCCUUCUUUCCUUUCUCUCCAAAACUCUUGAACGCGCCGUGCUUGGCCAGCUCUCUUG
rnacentral:lncRNA from 1 species